GAUAUCGAGGGAUCAAGUAUUAAAAAAACUCAAUAAAGAGUUAAGUUUAGAACUCAAACAAUUUUUUUGGAGCAUUUUUAAAUUUUUCUACCAGCAUCAAAGAAGAGUUUACUUCUUAUGGUCUUGUGUAGGAUAACUAUACAUUUCUUCAUAUAUAUAAAAAAAAAGAGUUUUCAAGUACUUCAUGCUGAGUAACCAGACCUCUUUGCCUAUUCAAGUAUUGAGUUUCAUGUCAAAAGGUAUGAAGGACAAAGAAGCUUAUUGUAAAGCUAGUUUUAACUCGUAGCCUGU
rnacentral:lncRNA from 1 species